rnacentral:lncRNA from 1 species
CCAGAAUCAUAAUACUAUACAGUAAGAAUAAGAUUUUACGAGACAAGCCACAUAAAUCUUAUUUAUAGUAAUAGUGUGACGCGCCAUACACAAGCAAACAAAAGGACCCAAGUCAUUAUUCCCUUUAGUAAUUCCAAUUAAUUUUUUAUGACCUUAGCUUAGUAUUCUCUACAAGCUGCAUGUGCAAAUCUCUCUCUAUAUAUAUUUGGCUAAUAAAAUAUGAUUAAAAGGUGAUAAUUAAUUUUAAUUACAUAUAAACAAACUUUGAAAGGGUCCUUUAUAAAGAAAAGAGAAUGUAAUUUUUAAGGACACUUAGGUUUGCCCUUGGAGUUCUUGAGGUCCCUGUAGCAAGGGCACUCGUCCUUGUGCCCGUAAGUCCCAGAUGGAACACAAUGGCACUUGUCACAGCAAAUUCCACAGUACUUCAGGCACCUGUCUUCCCUUCCUGCUUUUGAGCACCUCACCGCACACUUUGAGUCGCAGAAAUCUGUCCCAAUAUUACAUGUGCAAUACGUAAUAAAAACAAAUGAAAGAUAUUACAAUAUCUUAAAUAAGUUAAGUAGGCUCACCUGAACCAGCCAUUGAGACCUCAAAGAAAGUGGAGGUGAGGACAAGCGAAACGAGAAGGAACGUAACCAAGGCCAGCUUCAUUUUUCUCAGAAUUUCCUGAAGAAGAGUAGUUAAUUUGCUAAUCAAAAAGAGAGCCAAAGAAUCGGUAAUGCUUUGCUUAUGGA